UACGGGGGGAGCAAGCGUUGUUCGGAUUUACUGGGCGUAAAGGGCGCGUAGGCGGUCAGCACAAGUCAGUUGUGAAAUCUCCGGGCUUAACUCGGAAAGGUCAACUGAUACUGUGCGACUAGAGUGCGGAAGGGGCAACUGGAAUUCUCGGUGUAGCGGUGAAAUGCGUAGAUAUCAAGAGGAACACCUGCGGCGAAGGCGGGUUGCUGGGCCGACACUGACGCUGAUGCGCGAAAGCCAGGGGAGCGAACGGG
rnacentral:rRNA from 1 species